GGUCGUCCCCUCACAUUCCUUCUUCAUCUCCCUCUUUCCCAAAUUCCAAUUUGAGAAUACAAGAAGGCAACGUCUUCUUCUUCACGCCCCGCUACCCCCCGUUUUUCUUGAAUUUCCAGCGAGUUCUCGCCCUGGGUGGCUCCGAUUUUCCCAAACCGGACUCCUCUAUCCCAAAUUUUUCUCUUGCCCUAGCUCUGCAAAAUCUACUCCAAACCGACGCCACCGGCACAGUGGUCGCCAUCCUCCGCCGCCUACUCCGGCGGCGCUUCCCUUCCUGGGAAAUCGCGAAGGAGCUCUUCGCUCCCCAUCGUGAGUUUUCCCCCAAUUUGAUCUCUUCUUCGUCUCCUCAAAUUGAGGCUCCACGGUCUUUGUCGAUUCUCAAAUUCCAGCAUCGCUGCCUUUCUCCUUCGCGACGGGAGGUCCUUGACGGCGUACUGUCUCUCGCCCUUGCUCCCAGCUGUUCGUCUGCCGGAUGCGGCAAGAGCAGCUCGCUCUUCGGCCUCCGUUGCCUCGCGCCAGCAGCUGCUGCCCCGCGGUGAGUCCCAGGAUCUCCGCCGUUCCUCGUCCGCCGCCGGCAGCUCUGCCUAUCUAAAGUUAAGCCCUCUUCCCCUACCCUUUUAUUUCUUCGUUUAGUGAUCAGCUCUUAUGGAUAUUCUUGCGAAUCGUUGUGGUUAUUGGUGUUUUUGAUUUAGCAAGCCCCUAUCACUAUGUGAUACUUGAUUGAUGAGCAUUAUUUGAUCCUAGUUUUAUCCAAUGAUCCUAUGUUCUUGAGAGAUUGGCAUAUCACAUAUCUUGGGUAAAACUCUCGACUUGCUAAGCCCUUGGACUAUUCUGUAGAUGUUCUGCAAAGGGAGGGUUGUUGUAUUGUUACCUUGCUUUGGUGGCCUUUCUUGGUUGUGGAUUGAUCUCUCGCCGCCCUCGCUCCUCUUCCUUGGCAAAAUUCCAAGAAGAGACGUUAUGGCAAAAUGUAUCCGCCAUUUGGACCCUGAAAAAACAAGAUUCCAGCCAUGGUAUAGACGCGAGAAGCUCUCGCGUGUUUUAAUUAAACACGCUUGAAGCUCUCGCGUGGUUUAAAAGUAUAGACGCAUCACCGUAAUGCGUGUUUAAAGUAAAACACGCAUAUUCCUCUCGCGUGUUGUUAGAUAACUUUCAACCCUUAUUUUCGUUUUUAUUGGUAUAAUUUAGGUGGGUAUAAUAGUUAGGGUUCAUGUGGUAGAAAGUAUUUUGUUGAACAACAGUUGGAGAUCUGUCAAUUACCAGACUCCUGCCUCGAUAUGAACAACAGUUGGAGAUCUGUGACGUACAUGGUUUGUUGGGCUAUUGUCGAAGCACAUGAGCCUGAGCGCGUGGUUAGACAAUUUGGCGGCACGCCCUUCAUCCCGGAAUUGCGUGAUUGGGGUUUCAAUGAAACUCACUUCAAAACCAAUCGUUGUGGAAAGGCUAAGACGAACUGGGCUGUGCAGAACAAGGCCUACAUCCAACAUUGGGAGAGAAGGUCGGAGUUCGUUACUAAUGAUUACAUGGAGCCUCUCGCAGACCACGUGCAGGUGAUGAGAACUCGACAAUACAUGGAGUGGUGUUUUAAAAUUACCAUAACAUAUAUCACGUAGCCGGGUAGGCUUCCAGAAUUAGGGAUGAACACUGUUGCAUCAUCAUCUACACUCCAAGCGGAGACAUUGGCACGUGUAUUUCAUAUGUCGCGCGGUUUUGACCCAACAGACGCCGUAGGAUUGUUGCAUGAGAUUAACAGUCUUGCUCUUAACUGCAUCACCGAGUGCGGUGAGAGUGAACGCACGGUCAUACCUUCCACACAGCGCACUGAUGUGGAUAUGUCCCGGGGGUUUAUCCGAAGAGCUCGCGGUAUUGGUCAGAGAGGUAUCCGAACAGGCGGGCAUGGUUAUUCACGGCAUUUCAGAAUGUCCCAAGACAUGCCAGGGUCAUCACAAGUAGCAAAUGAAGAAAAUUUUAAUUCAGAUGACAACAUAGAUUUGGAUGCACUCAUCGACAAUUUUGUUGGUUUCCUACUUGGUCAGACGCGCCACAGUCUAGUUGGGUGACUCCAUUAGAUAGAGUUGGGCUACCAUGGAAUCCUACUACACAGGAUUCAUUCUUUUCGGAUGUCCAUAUCGUGCACUCUCCGACAAAUGAUGAUGAUGAUGAUGAUGAUGCUGAUGAUGACGAUGAUGAUGAUGAUGAUGCUGAUGUUGCUCUUAGGAGUAGUGCCUACAUAGAGCGCCCCACGAGGAGAGAGCAUAUUGGCCCUCCUAGGAGUAGUGUUCAACUUGAUCGGCCUAGUAGCAGUUCACAUACAUCCCGUCCCGAUAAGGAACGCUCCAGACCAAGUUUGUCUCAGACAAUUUUGGGUAUGUUCCCACGUAGAAGGUCUAGCCGUGACAACAGAGGAAAAGGCCCGAGUAAAUAUACACUUCGUCAUUUAAGUAGAAUAUUAUCAUUAGAUGGGUCCCUACAAACUGCAUGCCAUCUUCUUGAAUGACUAUCCAUAACCUCAUACAUCCGACCUGUUCCCACAUGCCAUAAUGUGAUAGCAGUUUUCAACUGCAAUUUGCUAUCAAAUUUUGUUCCCACGUCUAUAUGUCUCGGAUUAUCCUCAUCCCAAUACCACAUAUCUUCUUCAACCAAUCCAUGGUCUUCUGAAAAGUAACCUCGGCUGCCUUCACAUGGUAAUGAUCGAAAAAAUGGUAACCCUUCAGGCACAUAGUUGGGAACAGGUUGCUCCCCACGAACAUAUGGUGGUACAUAAUUCUCAACCAUCAUAUCAAGUGUCUCAUCGUCUGUAGAAUCUUCACAUGAUUCUGCACUAUAAUCAAGAUCACUUGGUUGAGAACCAUCACAAUCAGAGCCAUCUGCACCAUCAACAUUAUCUGCACCAUCACAAUUAUCAGAACCAUCUGAACCAUCACAAUUAUCAGAACCAUCUGAACCAUCAUAACCAUCACAUGUCACAUUUGGUACAUCUAGUGGUUCCUCAACCCCCCUCCCAGAUGUGUUGAAUUCAAAGCUAUGAUAUUCAUCAUCCCUCCUAGAUGUCCCGACAUCAAAACUAGGAUAACCAUCUCUCCUAGACAUUCCAACAUCAUGAUGAGUGAUAGGUGGUUCAAAUUGCAACGCAGUGGUAACAAGAGUAUAUUCAAUAAAAAGUUCAAUUUGACUUGGAUUUUCAACAAACAUAUACUCCAACAAAUUAGCAUCCAUUGGUGUAGCUAUAUAAUUCACCACUCCACUAAAAACCACAGGAUGCCUCCAUGUUAAAUCAAUCGUAUGUGCAUCCAACUCAAUUCCAAUUUUUUCACAUAUCAUUGAAACACGUAGAUAAUAAGAUAUCUUUUCAUCCAAUAUAAUAAAUGAUUUUGCACGAGGGGGAUCAUAAGCAACACCCAAACCUGGGAGCUGAAUAAUUUUCCCAUCCCAAUAUAAACUCACAAACACCAUUAAACCUGCAAAAUAAGUACGACAUAACAUCAUAUACUAUAAAUUCAACAUACUUAAAUAAAUAUUGAACAAAAUUAAAACCGAAAAUUCAAUACCAAGUUCAAUGCCAUAAACCCUAAAUCUAUACCUAACUAACAUAUAGCAAUGAUAAUUGAAAUUAAUAGUAAAAAAUUACCUAACACCACUUCAAAUAGGAAUUAGAGCAUCAAAAUAUCGGAUUCACUUCGAUUUUCGCCGGCUAGAGACGUUAGCCGUCGCUGAGUGCGAGAGAAUGAGCGAGCCGGAAGUGAAUUCGCGAGUGGAAAGUGAGGUCUCUGCCGUCUGGGCUCGAAUUUGUGUCCAACGUAACACGCGAGAGCGUGUCGCGUGUUUAACGUAACACGCGAGAGCCUAUCGCGUGUUUAACGUAACACUCGAUUUCCCGAUGCGUGUUAUGUAUACAUGCGAUAGCUUGAUGCGUGUUUAAUUAAAACACGCGAGAGCUUCUCGCGUCUAUACUAUGGCUGGAAUCUUUUUUUUUUCAGGGUCCAAAUGGCGGAUACAAUUUGCCAUGACGUCCAUUCGUGGAAUUUGCCCCCUCUUCCUUCCCCCUUGUUGCACUCCUUGCGAUUGUGAAUCCUUGAGUGUCAAAAAUUUGGGAAGGAGGGAGUGGUGAGGGGGCUGUUUAUAUACCUCUCAUUUUUCGCAUCUUGUGCCUGAACGUUGGGGGAAUGUGCUUCCAUAUUGAGGCUACAUGCUUGGCCUCCUUUUGAGUUUGGUGAUUGUGCUCUUUAUACCAAUUUGGUGAAACUUGGGAAGGUGGCAUAAGGGCUGAUCUCAGGCCCUACACUGCAGCCCCUGGGCUGCCCUAUCUCGCCUACUAAUCUCUUUUCUUAUUCGAGCUUGUGUCUCACUUUCCUCUCUUAUGUGUCAAAAUUUUGAUACCUCUUUUGGUGUAAAUCUUGUAGGUGGCAUGGCUGUCCCUUGGAGCCUUGUGGAGGUUGGAAUCGAAGGAGAGAGAAGGGAUGAAAUCUUUGCUCACAUCACUCUCCAUGCUUACUUCCCAAAGUAGCGACCUUCACCUUCUUGGUUCUUGCUCUUCUUUUCUUUUUUUUCUUUUUUUUUCUCUUAAGAGUAGGAAUGUAAUUUGGAAAGUAGAGUACAAAGGGAAGAGUUGUCUCUUUGGCUCAUGUAAGCAUUUGUACUACUUGUAUAGUUUGAAUUGUAUAUUAUUACACACAUGUAUCCUUCUUUUCUCUAAUAUAGUAUUUCAUUUACUUUUA